rnacentral:rRNA from 1 species
GACGAACGCUGGCGGCGUGCCUAAUACAUGCAAGUAGAACGCUGAAGAGAGGAGCUUGCUCUUCUUGGAUGAGUUGCGAACGGGUGAGUAACGCGUAGGUAACCUGCCUUGUAGCGGGGGAUAACUAUUGGAAACGAUAGCUAAUACCGCAUAACAAUGGAUGACCCAUGUCAUUUAUUUGAAAGGGGCAAAUGCUCCACUACAAGAUGGACCUGCGUUGUAUUAGCUAGUAGGUGAGGUAACGGCUCACCUAGGCGACGAUACAUAGCCGACCUGAGAGGGUGAUCGGCCACACUGGGACUGAGACACGGCCCAGACUCCUACGGGAGGCAGCAGUAGGGAAUCUUCGGCAAAGGGGGCAACCCUGACCGAGCAACGCCGCGUGAGUGAAGAAGGUUUUCGGAUCGUAAAGCUCUGUUGUAAGUCAAGAACGAGUGUGGGAGUGGAAAGUUCACACUGUGACGGUAGCUUACCAGAAAGGGACGGCUAACUACGUG